GGCUCAGGCAAACGUAAGCGGCUUGUCGCAGAAACCAAGGGGUCCAAGAAACCCGCUAGGCUAGAAGGCGGGAAGCAGAGAUUACUGACAGCCGUGCCAGCCAAUAAAAUGGGAAUGUGAGAAAGGCUCUUCAGGCCCCUUCCCAAUCAGGAAACUUGGGUAUGAGAGGGAAUGAAGGGGCGGGGUGGGAUCUCGGUCAAGCCGGUGCUGGAGUGGCGACAAUUUUGGCUAGUCUGAGAAGGGCAUUCGAGUGACCGUUGACAACGGGUGAGACACCGUCAAGGCUGAAGAAAGAACUUUAACUAUAUGCUUCCAGGACUUCUAGCUAGCUAAGAAAUCUCAGAUGAAUGGAGGAAUAGGAAAUAAUGCAUUGUGUCCAUGGAAGUUUAUAUAGAAGAAAAUGAAGAUAGAGACCUUAAGAUGUGUCUCCUGAGGCAAGG